rnacentral:rRNA from 1 species
UACGAAGGGGGCUAGCGUUGCUCGGAAUCACUGGGCGUAAAGCGCACGUAGGCGGACUCUUAAGUCGGGGGUGAAAUCCUGGAGCUCAACUCCAGAACUGCCUUCGAUACUGGGAGUCUUGAGUUCGGGAGAGGUGAGUGGAACUGCGAGUGUAGAGGUGAAAUUCGUAGAUAUUAGGAAGAACACCAGUGGCGAAGGCGGCUCACUGGCCCGGUACUGACGCUGAGGUACGAAAGCGUGGGGAGCAAACAGG